CCCUUAGAUGUUCUGGGCCGCACGCGCGCUACACUGAUCAGUGCAACAAGUAUCCGUCCUUGGCCGACAGGCCCGGGCAAUCUUUGAACGCUGAUCGUGAUGGGGAUAGACUUUUGCAAUUUUUGGUCUUCAACGAGGAAUUCCUAGUAAACGCAAGUCAUCAACUUGCAUUGAUUACGUCCCUGCCCUUUGUACACACCGCCCGUCGCACCUACCGAUUGAAUGGUCCGGUGAAGCCUCCGGAUUGGCGUGCACCCUCGGGUGCUGCCGAGAAGUUGGCUAAACCUUACCAUUUAGAGGAAGGUGAAGUCGUAACA
rnacentral:rRNA from 1 species